rnacentral:rRNA from 1 species
UCAGGAUGAACGCUAGCUACAGGCUUAACACAUGCAAGUCGAGGGGCAGCAUUUUAGUUUGCUUGCAAACUGAAGAUGGCGACCGGCGCACGGGUGAGUAACACGUAUCCAACCUGCCGAUAACUCCGGAAUAGCCUUUCGAAAGAAAGAUUAAUACCGGAUAGUAUACGAAUAUCGCAUGGUAUUUUUAUUAAAGAAUUUCGGUUAUCGAUGGGGAUGCGUUCCAUUAGUUUGUUGGCGGGGUAACGGCCCACCAAGACUACGAUGGAUAGGGGUUCUGAGAGGAAGGUCCCCCACAUUGGAACUGAGACACGGUCCAAACUCCUACGGGAGGCAGCAGUGAGGAAUAUUGGUCAAUGGGCGAGAGCCUGAACCAGCCAAGUAGCGUGAAGGAUGAAGGCUCUAUGGGUCGUAAACUUCUUUUAUAUGGGAAUAAAGUUUUCCACGUGUGGAAUUUUGUAUGUACCAUAUGAAUAAGGAUCGGCUAACUCCGUGCCAGCAGCCGCGGUAAUACGGAGGAUCCGAGCGUUAUCCGGAUUUAUUGGGUUUAAAGGGAGCGUAGGUGGAUUGUUAAGUCAGUUGUGAAAGUUUGCGGCUCAACCGUAAAAUUGCAGUUGAAACUGGCAGUCUUGAGUACAGUAGAGGUGGGCGGAAUUCGUGGUGUAGCGGUGAAAUGCUUAGAUAUCACGAAGAAUUCCGAUUGCGAAGGCAGCUCACUAGACUGUCACUGACACUGAUGCUCGAAAGUGUGGGUAUCAAACAGGAUUAGAUACCCUGGUAGUCCACACAGUAAACGAUGAAUACUCGCUGUUUGCGAUAUACAGUAAGCGGCCAAGCGAAAGCAUUAAGUAUUCCACCUGGGGAGUACGCCGGCAACGGUGAAACUCAAAGGAAUUGACGGGGGCCCGCACAAGCGGAGGAACAUGUGGUUUAAUUCGAUGAUACGCGAGGAACCUUACCCGGGCUUAAAUUGCAACAGAAUAUAUUGGAAACAGUAUAGCCGUAAGGCUGUUGUGAAGGUGCUGCAUGGUUGUCGUCAGCUCGUGCCGUGAGGUGUCGGCUUAAGUGCCAUAACGAGCGCAACCCCUAUCUUUAGUUACUAACAGGUGAUGCUGAGGACUCUAGAGAGACUGCCGUCGUAAGAUGUGAGGAAGGUGGGGAUGACGUCAAAUCAGCACGGCCCUUACGUCCGGGGCUACACACGUGUUACAAUGGGGGGUACAGAAGGCGGCUACCUGGUGACAGGAUGCUAAUCCCAAAAACCUCUCUCAGUUCGGAUCGAAGUCUGCAACCCGACUUCGUGAAGCUGGAUUCGCUAGUAAUCGCGCAUCAGCCAUGGCGCGGUGAAUACGUUCCCGGGCCUUGUACACACCGCCCGUCAAGCCAUGAAAGCCGGGGGUACCUGAAGUACGUAACCGCAAGGAGCGUCCUAGGGUAAAACUGGU